rnacentral:rRNA from 1 species
AUGUUUGAGGAGUUUGGGAGGUUGCUGAUGGAAGCCACAACAUAUAACAUAACGGAGAUAGAGAAAAUGAAGAAGUAUGUGGCAACCCACAAUAAUGCGGCAAAGAGAGAGAGACAGAGAUGGAGUAGAGUUGUUUACGAGGUUACUAUCGCGGAUGAUCAAAAGGAGUUUACUUAUGAGUGUGGUCAAUUCGAACACACUGGUUUGCUGUGCAGCCACAUUCUAAGGGUAAUCGAAAUACUACACCUAGAACAUAUUCCAUCUAAACAUAUUGUGAAAAGGUGGACGAAGGACGCAAGAGACAUUCUACCAAGCCAUCUGCAGCGGUACCAAAAGGACAAGCGGACCAACACAUCAUUCACAUGGAGGCAUUCGACACUGUACUUCAAAGCUAUGGACGUCGUUCGAAUGGGGGAUGCGAGUGCAGAAUCGUCUGAUUUCAUGCUAGCUGGGAUGGAAGAUCUACUAGUACGUGGAGCACCUAUUGCAGAGAGGAGAGAUGGCCUCGGGUUUGAGGAUCGGGUGACAACCUUAGACCCUGUGAGGCAAAAUGAUAAUGGAGAAGUUGCUUUGGUGCUCGGUACAGGUGCCGAUAAAGAGAAUAGCAUGACACAUUCUGUCAGCGUCAAUGACUUGGAAGGGCUCACAGCACCCGCUAAACAGAGGGGGGUUGGUAGGCCAACCAAUAGCAGGGAGAAGGCAUCGUACGAAGGACUCAGUCAAUGUACACAUUUCUGCAGCAUUUGCAGGAGGGAAGGACACAAAAGAACUACAUGUCCUGACAGAGGGGACGCACCAAAAAAGCCGAGGAAACCUGGUUGA